AACGCACAUUGCGCCCCUUGGUAUUCCAUUGGGCAUGCCUGUUCGAGCGUCAUAUACGCUAUCAAGCACCGCUUGGUGUUGGGUGUCUGUCUGAGCUCAGCCUCAGACUCGCCUGAAAUCGAUUGGCGGCGACUCCGCUGGCUCUCCACGCAGCACCUUGCGUCCUGAGGGGGGCUUUGCCGGGCUUUGCGUCCAUCAAGAUCCAUCUGUUUGACCUCGAAUCAGGUAGGGAUACCCGCUGAACUUAA
rnacentral:misc_RNA from 1 species